GUGCUUUGUGCAAACUCAGAAAAUUCAGCAAGUGCAUGAAAUGGAGUUCAUACAUCCAACCAAUCAGUGAGAAACAGUCCUGGGGAUAGCAAAAUUCUGAGAAGUUUGGCCUGAAUUCUUCAGCCAAUUCAAGGAAGGUAGAAGAUGUCGAUUUGAACCUUCAAAGAUUUACAAGGAUUCAAAAGAUUGUUCUCUGAGGCCAGUUCUGUUGCUAUGAUAUUCUAUGACUGAUGAAAGAUCAGCUGUGAUCACUCACUGAACCAGGAUGUUAAAAUAUGACACA